rnacentral:rRNA from 1 species
ACAGAUCGUUCAGAGUUUGAUCCUGGCUCAGGAUGAACGCUAGCUACAGGCUUAACACAUGCAAGUCGAGGGGCAGCACUAGGUAGCAAUACUGAGGUGGCGACCGGCGCACGGGUGCGUAACGCGUAUCCAACCUUCCCGUUACUCUUGGAUAGCCUUCCGAAAGGGAGAUUAAUACAAGAUGGUAUUCAAAUUCCGCAUGUUAUUUGAAUUAAAGAUUUAUCGGUAACGGAUGGGGAUGCGUGACAUUAGAUAGUAGGCGGGGUAACGGCCCACCUAGUCUACGAUGUCUAGGGGUUCUGAGAGGAAGGUCCCCCACACUGGAACUGAGACACGGUCCAG